ensembl:lncRNA
GAAAGCGUGGGUGGCAGUGCCGAAGCCCUCACCAGGAAACCAGAUCUACUUUCAAUCUACAGUGCCAACUGUCAACUCUUGCCAGCAGACCAGGUGCCGAUUCUCAUUGGCUCGCAGAAACUCGAAGGAUCAAGUGAGCUGUUUUAUGCACCAGUGCUGGUGAGUGGCAAGGUCACUUUGAGAGGAAUGUUAGAUUCUGGGUCCAUGUCUUGUACACUCAGUGAAGAGGCAGAGAAGAAACUUCAAGCUGCUGGUGUUCUGCCCAGUGCUCAGCCUAUCCCUGGUAAUGUGGUGAUUGUGGGCUGUGGUGGCAAGACGACCUACCCGAAGUGCUUCUAUGACCUUGAAGUUGAAGUGUAUGAAUCAAAGUUCAUUGUACCUACUCUAGUUGUUCCGGGCCAGAGAGAUGAUUUCAUAAUUGGCACUAACGUGAUUAAGCCUGUUCUACGUGACAUGAGAAAAAGAAAAGACUACUGGCGGCUCCUUUCCUCCAAGAACGAUGACCCUGAAUGUGACCGCUUUCUUGAGCUACUGAGCAGUGUGUCCAGGUGGGAGGGUCCAGGCGAGUGCGACAAAAUUGGAACAGUGAAGCUUGCGUGUAGCGUUACACUCCUCCCGCAACAAGAGCACCUGGUGUGGGGGAGGCUGCCUGCCGAUGUUCCUGUGUCCCCUGGGAGUACCAUCAUUGUUGAGCCGACUUCAGCACGCUCUGCCCCGAAGAACAUUCUUGUUGGCAAACUUGUCACUGCUAUGUGGGGUGAUCGUUGGGUUCCGAUGAAGAUCCUCAACCCGACAUUGGAUCCCAUCACACUACGUCGCAACGCGAAGAUAGCUGAUGUUUCCCCCUGUCUGGCAAUGGAAGACUUGAACAUCACCCAGGGAAUGUGUCGUACUCAGGACGUAGCCCCUGUUCAAACGCUGUCGGGUAGCAAGCCCACUGAUCCUGUCCAGGCGUUGAAGGAGGCUGGUUUGGGCGAUAUUGACCUGGAGGGUUGUGAAGUUUCCCCUGUUGAUAAGGCCAAGCUCGCCGCCCUACUCUUGGAGUAUAGUGACAUCUUCUCCAAAGACUCCCUUGACUGUGGGAGGCCAAAGACUUUGUUCACAGAAUCCACCUUUCAGAUGACCGCCCUUUUCGACUUCCCUAUCGACGUGUCCCACCAGCACACUAUCACAAAC